AAACAAUCAAAAAGAUGCAGUGAGAAAUAUAGAAGAUAUGAGAAUAAU
rnacentral:guide_RNA from 1 species